UACAGAGGUCUCAAGCGUUGUUCGGAUUCAUUGGGCGUAAAGGGUGCGUAGGCGGCGCGGUAAGUCGGGUGUGAAAUCUUGGAGCUUAACUCCGAAACUGCAUUCGAUACUGCCGUGCUUGAGGACUGGAGAGGAGACUGGAAUUUCCGGUGUAGCGGUGAAAUGCGUAGAUAUCGGAAGGAACACCAGUGGCGAAAGCGGCUUCCUGGUCCAGCACCGACGUCAGGCACGAAAGCGUGGGGAGCAAAC
rnacentral:rRNA from 1 species